UUUUUUUUUUUUUUUUUUAGUCUUGACUAGACCAAUUGAAUCCAUGGACUCUUGACUCUCAAAUUUGGCCUCGUCACUACCCUGUCCGAAUUUCAAAAUAUUGGUUUUAAUGGGAAGUGUAGUUGUGGGAAGCCAAGAUCCUAGAACUUAACUAGAAGCCCAAAAAUAUAUGUCCCUGGGAAUGUCCCUAUUUCAUUGUAAUGUUAAAAUUCAACUAGAAAAGGGGGAAACAAAAAGAAAAGAAGAAACUAUAUUAACCUUUAUAGUCUGUCAUUGCACAUACCCCAAGAACCAAUAAUGUUUUGAGUUAAUCCCCCGGCAUAUUGUUCACAAUCAUGACAUAGAAUGACAAUUAAUUAAAGAUUUGCCUCAAAAGUAGCCAUCAUAAAGACAUAUCUGCUUAUCUUACCAUUAUUCUUUUUAAAGUUUUUGAAAAACCAUUUUCAGAUUGCUUCCAUGAAAAUUAAAAUCUUACGAUGCACAAAUAACUUUACCUUUUUGCAACAGUCACGAUGAGAGAUUCUAGAACUUGGCUGGAAGCCCAUAAUUACAUGCUAUUUUAAGAAUGUAGGACUUCAAUGCGAUGUCAAACUUCAAUCCAAAAUGAAUAGGGAAAAGAAAAAGAAGAGAUAAAUUCACGUUUCCAGUCUGAGUCAUAGCAAAGGGACCUUUGUCUUGAAUUACUUUCUUACUAUAUAUUUGAGCAUCAUGGCAUAAAAUGAUACUAGGUUUUGCCUUCAAAUAGCCAUUAGUUACAUGGGAUAACAUAUGAGAUUAUGUUACCGUUAUUUUAUUUUAUUUUGAAAUCCACUAGUAAAUUUUACAACGGUACUAUAAUGCAGUAACAAUUUUACCUUAUUGCAAUAGUCAAGAUCAGGGUACAAGUUUAUCAAGUGUUUCUGCAGAGAUCAGGAAGAUAUCCGGAUUUUACUAUGAGGUUGUUGAGUUUUUUGCCAAAAUAACACUCUUACUAAAAAAUAUUUCCAAUGUGAUUCACUUUCAAAUUUUAUUACCAUAAUGAUAUUAUUGUUCCCAUCUAAUUAUCCUGAUUGCCAUGUAGAAUAACAAGAAAGGAAAGUUCUAAUCAAAUUUUAAUUUUUUUUAUUAUAGAGGCACAAGAAGAUUGCAUAACUUUUAUAAUUUCCUUAUAAUUAUCUUAAAUAAAUUUUACCAUUAUUGACCUUACUAUUAUUGGUCUCCGAAUUUUUUUAAAUGUAUCAAACCUAUUGCAUAUAUAUUUUUUCAAAAAAUAAUUUUAAAAAUACAAAAAUUGCACCAAAAAUUGCAACGAAAAUUGUAAUCAAUUACAAAAAUUUCAAGGUUAUCAUAUUUGUUUAUGUUAUCCUUCCUACUCUUUGAAAAGAUAAAAAUAAUCUUCAUCUACCUUAAGAUUAUCGACUUGCGAAACAUAUUUUUUAGAUGCUAUUAAUAUAAAGAUUGGCUUCUUAAAUUAUGUUUGACAAGGGAAAAAUAACGAAAGAAAAAAAUGUGGGAAACUUUAUAGAGAAAAUUGAAGAAAAUAUUAGAUGAGAAAGAGAAAUGGAAGAUGUUUUUAUCUCUAUCCUGACACAUAUGCAGCUUAAGUGGCAAAAAAGGAUCACAAAGGUAAUAAGUUUUAAAAUUAAGUGGCAAAAAAGGAUCACAAAGAUAAUAAGUUUUAAAAUUAAGUUACUUUGAGUAUAUAUUCUAGAAGAAGAGUUAUUUUGGCAAUAAACUCUGAGGUUGUUAGAGGAAGUUAGAUCAAGAUAGCUAUCAUCUACUGAUUUUCCUUUAGCAUCUAAACCUACAGAAUCUGAUCAAAUUACACUUCCAACAAUAUCUUAACUGUCAUUUCUUCAUCCCCUUCUUCCUAUUCUCUUCUUCUAUUUCGUCUCCCUCAAUAUAGAAUAGUGCAAUUUUCUUUCCAAAAUCUUUCACCUUUUUCUCAUUCAAAAUAGGCUACAAACAUGAAGAAUACUAUAUCUUCUCCCUCUUUUCAAGAACUUAAUCACAGGGGUGAUGAAGAUGAGAAACUUCUCACUCUUUCACUCUUUACAAAUCCCAUUUCCACUGCAUUUCAACCGAUAUGUUAUUCAAGAGCUUCUCCUUCACCAUCACUUCAUAUCUAUGACAAUGUCCCUAUGAAUCUCCAAACGGCAUCUCACCAAGAGGGGACAAUUUCAACACAUCCACAACGCAAAAGAAAGCCACCAACACAAACUCCGCCUCCAGGAAAGUCCGAAAACAUCCCUCCACCGUACCCUUGGGCUACCACACGACGCGCCACCGUGCACACCCUAGAUUACCUGCUUUCCAAUGGCUUGAACAGGAUUAGAGGUGAAGUUCAAUGCAAAAGAUGUGAUGAAAAGUACGAAAUGGAGUUCGAUUUGCAAAAUAAGUUCGCGGAGAUUGCGACAUUUAUCGCGAAAAAUAAGGAUUCUCUGCAUGACAGGGCACCAAAUGUUUGGAUGAAUCCAUGUUUGCCAAAUUGCAAGUUUUGUGACCAAAGCAAUAGUGUAAAGCCGAUUCUUACUAAGAAGAGAUCCAUCAAUUGGCUAUUUUUGUUGUUAGGUCAGAUGCUUGGAUGCUGUAAGCUCGGUGAACUCAAGUAUUUUUGCAAGCAUACCAAGAAUCAUAGGACAGGUGCAAAGGAUCGAGUUCUUUAUCUUACUUAUUUAGAGCUGUGUAAGCAACUUGAUCCUCAAGGACCCUUUGGUAGAUAAAUGAAGGUGUCCACAAGUCAUGCUUCGGUUUGCACCUCUGUUUGGAAGCUUUUAUCUUGUGAUCUCUAUUUCACUUUCUUAUGGUUUAAAUAGAUUUUUAGAUGGCUGGAAGCAGCCUAGGAGAGAAUAGCACAUCAAACGUUGAGAUUGAAAUCCGCAUGGAGAAACCAAGAAUUCAUCUUAACCUCUAUAUUACUUAAUAUUUCAUUCUACAUGUAUUCAUCCAUGGGUAAGUGUCUAUUCACACAGAGUUCAGCACAAAUCUACCAUCAAAAUUGUCGAGUUCCAACCUUCGUUAAUGUUAUGAUCCAUUUUCCAAAAAUUCGUUAAUGAAAUUUAAAUUCAUUACGAGAAAUUUAAGUUUUCUAGUGAUGCGUCAGAUUACUGCAAAUCACAAAAACUUUCCUAAAAACCCUCUUUUUAGUGACUUUCAUAAAAAUUUUGUUUAUUAUGACAUCAAACUGGUCAUAGUAACAAUAAAUAUGAUGGUUUUAGAUCAUAAAAGGUAUGAUUUUAAGUCAUAAUAGUAGCACAUUUAUUGGAACUCGCAAUCAAUCUUGUGACCAUGUAGGGGCUGACCUAAUUUGUGACUUAUUUACAAGUCACAAUCAUAUUUUGACGCCUUGUGACAUAUGGAAAAAAAGGAUGUGCACGCAUACACAAGACACGUUUUUGUUGAAGUAAAUAGCAAGGGAUGGUCUUUGUUGAAGUAAAGUAGCAAGGGAUAGUAAUGGCACAAGUAAAGGACUACUACUUUUUUCGUUGCUACAAAAACAGGGAAUAUGUGUGUCAAAUGCCAAGUAAAUUCAUCAGUGACGUAGCUUUCCCUGUGGCGGGUGCAUAGUGCACUCGUCUGAUCCGGUGGUGGUUCAGUCCCCUUCGGAUUAUCCCAAGAUCUCUUUAGGCACUCUCCCUCUCUAUAGUAUAGGAAGCUAUCGUAUCGACAAAAAAAAAAAAAAAAAAGACACAGCUUUCACAUGUAGAUUUCCACCAACUCCUACAUAAUUUUGGCGACAAAAAUAUGCACAAAAGAAGAUCCCAAAGAAUAUCAAUUUCACAGGAAAUUAAACUAUCUCUUCCCGUUUGACCAAAUCGAAAAAAUGAGCACUAGUCAAUCUCCCAUUCCAGAGAUAGUUGAUGAGCUUGCUACUUUCUAGAUGUGCAGAACCUUGGACUUGCACCACAAUGACAGGAUUACUAGGGUAAAAAUGACUAUGCUUGCUGUUUUUUCCUUGUCUGACCUUCACCAUCUUCAGGUAAUGGGGGAUUUAGGAUUUAAGAUUUGUGAAACUUUGGCAUCGGAGAUAGAGGUAAACAUUUAAGGCUGUGGUCUCUUUCAUUGGGAGAAGGCACAAUAUUUUUUAUUUGUUUUGUCUGACUUGGAUUGAAAAUAAUAGUAGGAAAGUUAAAUUGAAGAUAGUUUUGUAAUUGAAUUAUAAAGGUUAGAGGAAGGGUAGGUUUGGAUGAUUCAAAGGGAGGAAACGUAAAUCAGAGGUUAUGAGAGAUUCAAGGUUCAAAUCCUUCUACUUAUACUUUAAAAAAAAUUAACUACAAAGGAUAAUGUAUAUCUUAUUACAUGAAUAAUACAGCAUUCCGCGCUUAUGAAUUUGGUGAGAUUUACACCCCAUUAUGAAAUACUUAGCAAUUUUCCUUGUACCAAAUUGAAAAUUUUUCAAACAUGUAUCCCCAUCAAAAUAUAUAGCCCUAUCAAAUUACUUCAAAGACCUUAAUAAUGCGAUUGAUACCCUCACACAAUCAUAGAUACAUUUGUAUACAUUUGGUAAUAUUUUGCUUGAGAUGCAAAUUUACUCGUGGGCAUUUUCAUACUUCAACAUUUUAUUUAUUGUUUAUUGAACUAAUACCAGCCUCCGCCAUUUUCCAAAAAUACACAAGAGUCUACCUACUGAUGAAUAUUCAUUUUUCCUUUUCUCUUUUCUCAAUUUUUCCCAAAAGAAAUUUAUUCACGGACCAAAUUGGUAAUUUGGAUUAGAAGACACAGAAAAGCAAAAGGCUGAGAACAGCAAUUUGAGAUAAUAAAUCAUCGUUGUGGAAUUGUCAUGUCUUGCAUCUUCUCCCUCAAAUGCUUUUGAAUUCUUGGAUCUGAGCUACUGGAGAAUAUUCCAAAUAUGAGCCCAAAACUGUUUUAGAACCCAUUUGCGGUUGCGGUAAUUUAUAAAAAAGUACUUCUCUAGUAGAACUUUUAAUAAAAGUACUUAUCAACUACUUAAUAAGUACUUUCAAAUAUACUGUUUGGAGAUAUAAUUCAAUAUGUACUUAUUGUAUUGGAUAAUGUGUAAUUCGAAAAUUUUUAAAAGUUUUUAUCUAUUUAUUUGGUUCAUAAUAUAGGAUAAGAUGAUUAAAUUUAAUAUUUUAUUUUUUAAAUCACAAAACCUACUCCAAAAGCACCAAAUUUGAACUUUUUCCAAAAAUAAUUUUAACACUGAAAACUCUAUUUCUAAUUUUAUGGAAUGAUAUUCACCAAACAUUUUAAAAGUACUUUUAACAUCUAAAAGUACUUUUUUAUCAAAAGCACUGCAACUCCAAACAGGGCUUUAAUUUGCUUAGACUAAAGGCAUCAUCAGAAAUAGUGAUGCAAAUGUACACAGAAGUAGACGGGGGGUAAAAGGAAAGGAAGAGAGUAACAGUAGAAAAUAAAAGUUUGAAUUGCUGCUUUACUUUCUUUGAUGGUAAACCUAGAGUAUCUAAGGUAAUUAAGAAUCAUUACUAUGACCGCUGCAUGGAUCCUUCAAAUCCAUAUGAUCUGCUAAAUCUGUAACGUCUAAAUCAAGAGGGCAUCACUGAACUUUUAUGCGCUAUAUUUCAGCAUCUGUAUAAAUCAAGAGGGCAUCACUGAACUUUUAUGCGCUAUAUUUCAGCAUCUGUAAAUGAAGUUUUAAUUCAACUUCACAACUAAGCAUGGAACAUUUCAGUUUUUAGCCAAAAUCAAUUUACUGAUAUCCUACACAGUUGUCAUACAAGUCAAUCCUGUUAGCCUUUGUAUCUGCGUUAAUGAAACGAAACAAAUUAAAGGCAAAAAGUUUCUGUAACUAUGGAACUUCAGUACUGCAUCUCAGAAUCCAGCUUUUCUUUCGUAAUACACGGAAAUCUUCUUAGACCUUAUCCACCACCUCGAGCUCAGCAGAUUGCAAGAACCAUAGCUGAUACAAUUCGCGUAAUGGCAUCCUUUUGUCAGACCUUUUUCAUUUGCUGAUAUGUGCCAAGCAAGUUGAGCAAAGCAAUGAUUGAAAAAAAAAAAAACUGAAUUUUACUUAGCUAGCACAACAGUCGCAUUGCUGAGGAUUAUUAAUUGGAUUAAUGCCAUGAGAGAGAGAGAGAGAGAGUCCAAAUCAAACUAUCAAAGGUAUCAAUUACUUCCACACAAAGGUUCAUAGCAGAGCAACCAAAAACCGAAAUCAACGUAGCUUCCUCAAAGUGCAUAUACAAUAUUAAAAGAAUUGCAAUAUAGAAUACAUUCACCUUGAAAAUUCUAAUCAGAUGAUAUAUUAAAUAAGCAGAUGCGCAACUAGAAUGAAUGAUAUCACGCAAGCUAAUAAAUUGAUAUUCAUCUCCCUCAUAACAAGUGUUUUGGCCAGAGAAAGAGUGAUCCAGGUAACAUAACAGAAUACUCGAUGAACGUAUAAUUGCCCCAUUUAGAGGAAGGUGACAUCGAGUCAGAACAAAUCUAGCAAGCUGAAUUCAGGGGUACUAAACCAUACCAAUAGAAAGCACUUGGGAGUGAGGUCAUUCAAAUCACCAACAGUUUAAAUAACUAGACAAAAGGUAUUGAGUGGCAUCAAAACCAAAAUACAAACUUCCAGAACUAAGCAGCAGCAUUUAGCAACUCUCAGAAAGUUACCAAAAUGUGAAGGCAUAUGUGACCCGUCAAUGACUUGGAUAUCUGAUAUCCAUAAUUACUCUCGAAGGUAGAAGCAUUAUACAUACUUCUACCUCCCUCUUCCAGAUUGCUCUAAAAUUAUCCUCUGAAGAGAUGAUGUGAUACAAGACUCAUUACUGAGGGAACUCGCGAAGUCAAAAAAUCAAUAUUACAUAUACAAUACUUGGAAAAACAAAUACAGUGUAAAUCUACACAAAAGGAGGAUUUCCUUUGCAGAACUUCUCUUAUUGAUAAAAUGUAUAAAAUCAGAGUACAACUAUAAAAACCUAGGAAAGAAAUGCUGAGAGUAACUCCUGAAUAACUCCUGAAUUUAGCUUGGCAAAAACAAGUUUGUCACUGCAGGGAUACUUGUUUGGAUCACUGUCAUCACACACACACACACAGAGUCCAAAAUGAAUGAGUAAAAUGAACCAUAGGUGUAUUUUAACUACACUUCAACCACAAGGUACACAGCAGAUCAACUUUCACCUUCCUUCUAUAUUCCUAAUCAGAUUAUACGUCAACAAAGCAGAUAGAGACUAGAAUAAAAAAAAGUCGAGCUAGCUUGAAGACAUUACCCAUUCAACCCAUUGGUCUCAAGUUUUGUUCUACGUAAGAGAGACACAUGAACAGAGAAGUCAAAAGAGUGAUCCAGGUUACAUAACAAAAUACUUGAUUUAGAAUGAAAAAAAAAAAAAAAAAAAGUCAAGCUAGCUUGAAGACAAUAUCCAUUCAGCCCAUUGGUUUCAAGUUUCAUUUUAUGUAAGAGAGAUGCAUGAACAGACAAUUCAAGUGUAACAGACAAUUCAAGAGUGAUCCACGUUACACAACAAAAUACUUGAUUUAUAAUUGCUGAUUUCAGAGGAAUGAUGAGCCAUCAAGUCAAUUCAAGUAUAACAAGCCUCAUUCCAGGAAGUAAUUCCUAUAAAUAGAAAGAACUUAAAGUCUCAGGUCAUACUAAUCAGAACACCUUAACAAACAAGUUUAAAGGUAUCCAAUUGGCAUCAAAGCCAUAUACAAGCUUCAUUAAGAAUAAUCAUCAAAGUAGCAAGUCACUAAGAAGCAAAUUACCAAUAUGCAAAUGUAUGUCAAUCAAUAGUGGGCAGUCCAACUGAUGUGGAUAUCUGAGUCACGACAUAUUCAUUGGCAGCUAGCAGCACCAGACAAUCCGUGCCUCAUUCUACCAGAUAUCUAUACAAUUAUACUACAGAGCUAUGAUCUAACAUAUGAUUAGCACAUAAAGUCGACCAGUAAUGCACAACAGUUCAAAAAAUAAAUGGCCAUUUAAUCACAACACACGAAUGCACUGUAUUAGCCAAAGUUCUAUGCCUAGAAAGAACUAGUCCAGAUUUUGGGAUGCAUUAUUAAAUAAAAUUACAAGAAAGUUAUGCAAAAAAAAUGUGGAUAGGAGCUUAAAUCACAAAUAAAUUUGAAUGCUUAUAACUGCCAAAAACAUGGAGGAGCAUACAACAAUAGAUAGUAGAAAGCUUCUGUGAAUGGAAGUCUUCAUAUUUGUCCGCUUCAUGUUCUAAACAGAAUUCCAUAAUUUACUCCUCCAAGCAAAUUUUAAGCAGAACAUUUCAUCAUAAUCCGAGCAGAGUAUAGUAUAUCCAUCAUCACAGUCUAAGCUACGACACAAUACAAAAGAAUAUCCAAAGUUACUCAUCUUGUCACAUAUAAAUAAAAAAGGACACACUUAUGUGACUGCAAACACUAGUUUCCUACAUCAGACAGAAUAUAGACAAGCAUUCCAUUUAAAUAACCUUACUAAAUGCUCUGAUGUGUAGCAGUGUACUACUCUAUUUUUUAGAUCAAACCAUGAUCGGCAAAAUAUCCAUGUUGCUUCACAUCUACUGAAGUUUGCAACAUCCAGACCAAAACAAGCACCACAAAAUUCAGAUUAAUUGGAAGCAAAGCAGAACUCAGGUCAGUGAGAAAGUGUAAAACUUCAAAACACCCAAACUAUAAAAAAGCAAAAGAAAACACUUGUUGAAUACUAUUGCCACUUCCAGCGAAAAUGAAUUUUCAGCUACAAUAUACAUAGUUUGUUACACCUCAGCUGUGAAUGAGAAACUACAGAAAAUCUGCUACUUUCUCCUCUUGAGUGGCCCAGUUUUGUAGCCACACUUAGUGGGCUUCCCCCAUGGUGUACGUGAACCACGUCCAUGACUCCCACU
rnacentral:lncRNA from 1 species